CAAUGGCUAACUUUGCUCACAGAACAUUUCACUUCAAGCAUCUCCACUACAGCUGGGAGGUUGAGAUGACCAGGAUUUCACCUCUUUCCUCACCAGAAUGAACUCUCCUAUUCUGAAUAUAAAAACGUUUAUGAACGGAGCCCGAAAGGUAAAUUCUUCAACUUUCUCUAGAAGGGGCUGGCACAGAAUGAAGUUCCCGUUAUUGAUUAAGCCCAGGUGGUCUACUCACACAGCAAACAGAUAUUUUACAAAGCUUUAUUACGCCUCAUUAGGAUUCACUCCUUUAGAAGAUUUCUAAUUAUAUUGUCUAAUAAAACUAAACCUUCGAAGCGAUUUGCAUAUUAUAUGAAGAAAUCUCAUACAACAAACUCACAAUGGAUUCAAUUAACAUAAUAGCUAAUUAUAUAUCCCAUCAGCCUUUCGAGCGGCUCAGCAUUCAUGUUGCUCCUGUUUUAGCCUAGAGCAAAGGAGGUUUGAACAUUCGCUUCUAAAUAUUGACUUUUAACUAAUAUCAAAAACGAUUGGAACGCUUUUGUGGAUGAAAAGACAAUGAUUAAACUACAGGAAACAUUUUAGAAGACUUACUUUAAAAGUCUUUGAAACAAUUUCUAUUUCCACGUCAAGCCUCCCCUGUUACCCACCCCGCGCCCGGCUGUACCCUUACAAAAUGACCAGAUAUGGCGAAUUGUUUUGACAAACGGCUGAUUGACAGCUUGGUUAUUUGGAAACUGCCCACUUCCUGCAGUUACAUUUUGUAUAUUUCUCACUGCGCUUUGUAACGCGGUUGUAUUCUCGGCCGGUCGCGGUAUCUAUCAAGGAAGAAAUUUAGGGCUAGAUUAACAGAGACACAGUAAUGAACAGGCGUUCGGGCGCCCUAUAAUUGACUGUUAUUACGGUGUCGUCACAGCGCUCUGUAAUUAAUUCCCUUGUUUUGUUUCGAAGUCGGAUGAGAUAUUCUGGAAAAGCAAAACUGGAUGCCAAAGUUUCCUCAGACCUCAGGAAAAGGCCGGCAGAAACAAAGCCUGCUUUUUUUUUUUUCCCCUCUUCCUCUCUCUCUUUAAAGAUUUCAGAUGCGCUGAAGGUUCUCCCAAUUUCGAAACGCCCAGUGGAAAAAGAAGGGACGUAGGGAUACGAUUUUGCCACUCAGUAGAAAACUUACAAUAAAUUGCCUCCCUGUCAAGCUCCUCGCCAAAUGUAAUGAGAAAUCUGCUCGGCAUCAUAUUUCUAUCUUUACAAAAGAUAGCAGAUAAAGUUUGUUGCAGAGUAAAUGGUUUUCUCCGUUACAAUGAUGGCUGCCUUUUCAUUCAUAUUUUAAUGAGGUUAGUAUCUCUGAGACAGCUUUUUCGGGGUGGAGGCCCAUGUCUCCGGUACGAUUACAAUAGGAGUUGCUUUAUUGACAAGUACUAUUCAAAAUCUUCACAGUAUAGAAAGAAAGGCUUUAGUUUUCCACCACUUGUCCAAAUACUUAUUCCUCUCUUACUAUUAAAACACUUUCAGAAAGAGCACUCUCGACUGUGUAGAGCCCCGCACGGCCGGGCAGAGCGCGGCUCAGCCCCAACGCCUUUCAGUCCCAACUGCAUUUAUUUCUGCAGAAAACUCGCUGGGCAAAGCCCAACAAACAGCCAGCAGAAAUCAGAAGGUUGCACUGGCAGCGGGUUUACAAGCAGCACGCCGACGGAAUAACAGUCGCUAACGAUUGGAGUCUGCCUCCCAACAAACAGGGAGAGAGAAAGUUUACUCAAGGAUCCCACAGCCAACGGAAACCUCAGCAAAAAGAAAUGAAAAAUGGGCAAACCCAACUGCUGGCAAGUCGUGCUCCAAGGUUUUAUUAGUCCCCUUAUUUACACUAUCACUAAAGCAUUUUUCAUGAUGGCACCAGGGGAUGCAUCCCAAAACUAAAUCUGGGGGUAAAUGCAAGAUGAGCUCUGCCUGAGCCCUAUCAUGUAGCAAUUGGUGCAAAAACUUUCUCGUGCCCCCAAAAGGAAGCACACAUAGCUCCAGCAUUUCUAUAAAUAGGCACUGUGAGGGCUCAUUCAAUUCUUUUUUUUCAUAUGUUUGAGGCCUUUUUCGAAGGGUUUGGCACUUCAUUUCCCUGCUCAUGGUGCUCAAGGCCC
ensembl:lncRNA